UGGUCGCAGACUCGCGACAUCGCCUCGCGC
rnacentral:sRNA from 1 species